rnacentral:rRNA from 1 species
UACGUAGGGGGCGAGCGUUGUCCGGAUUUAUUGGGCGUAAAGAGCUCGUAGGCGGUUUGGCAAGUCGGUGUGAAACCUCCAGGCUCAACCUGGAGUCGCCACCGAUACUGCUAUGACUUGAGUCUGGUAGGGGAUCACGGAAUUCCUGGUGUAGCGGUGAAAUGCGCAGAUAUCGGGAAGAACACCCGUGGCGAAGGCGGCUACUCUGGGACGGUACUGGACGCUGAGACGCGAAAGCGUGGGGAG